rnacentral:rRNA from 1 species
UACGGAGGGUGCGAGCGUUGUCCGGAAUCAUUGGGCGUAAAGGGCGCGUAGGUGGCGCGGUAAGCGUGCGGUGAAAGCCUGGGGCUCAACCCCGGGUCGGCCGUGCGAACUGCUGGGCUUGAGCACUGUAGAGGCAGGCGGAAUUCCGGGUGUAGCGGUGGAAUGCGUAGAGAUCCGGAAGAACACCGGUGGCGAAGGCGGCCUGCUGGGCAGUUGCUGACACUGAGGCGCGACAGCGUGGGGAGCAAACAGGG